GACCUAGUCCCAACCUUAAAAUCAGUUACUACUCAACUUAUACAUGCAAGUCUCCGCACCCCCGUGAGAACGCCCUCAACCCCUACUGGGGAUGAGGAGCAGGUAUCAGGCUCAACUACUUGCCUAAGACACCUAGCCCCGCCACACCCACAAGGGCCUUGCAGCAGUGAUUAACCUUGAAUAUGAGCGUCAGCUUGAUUCAGUCAGAGUAAAAAGGAGCUGGCAAAGUUAGUGCCAGUCGCCUCGGAUAAACUACAUCAGCCCAAACUGAUUUACUUCGGCGUAAAGCGUGAUCAGAUACUAUAACACACUAGAGUUAAACCCAACAACUGUCCAACAGGAAGCUCAACCACGAAAGUCACUCUACCACCCCUUUGAUUUCACGACAACUAGGACCCAAACUGGGAAUAGGAACCCCACUAUGCCUAGUCGUAAACUUUAACUUACACCACAACCGCCAGG
rnacentral:rRNA from 1 species